UACGGAGGGUGCAAGCGUUAAUCGGAAUUACUGGGCGUAAAGCGCACGCAGGCGGUUUGUUAAGUGAGAUGUGAAAUCCCCGGGCUGAACCUGGGAAUAGCAUCUGAUACGGGGAAGCUUGAGUACUGUAGGGGGGGGUAGAAUUCCACGUGUAGCGGUGAAAUGCGUAGAGAUGUGGAGGAAUACCGGAGGCGAAGGCAGCCCCCUGG
rnacentral:rRNA from 1 species